AGAAAGAGGUAAAGAGAAAGAGGGAGGAAAAAGAUAGAAACAGAGUGAAAAAUAUGUACAUAGAGAGAAACGGAAGUGGGGAAGUGGAGGAGUAUGUUAGCCAAAGGGAGUUUUCUUUCAACACGGUUUCUUAAUGUUGAGUUUUGAGCCUUGAGAGUCAACAAUGAACCUCAUUCAGCCCCACAGCACUUCUCUACCAAUACUUUUCUCUUUUCCUGUUCUAUAUUCUCCUUGAAAGCAAUACAAAUGAAUUCAUCAUAAUUAGAAGGCUGAAAAAGGGCUGAGGAACAACCCUUCCCAACAUCUCAUGAAGACCAUUUCAAGUCCAGUCAUGGCUCAUCAAGUGCAGUCAUGUUAUGGAAUACAGAAGCUUCCAGUCUAGAGUCCCCUGAUACCCAAGUGAGAACAUGCUGUGUCACACUGGAAACAAACACACUCAGGCUUCAUGGCGUUUUUCUUUGUUUAUUUCUUUCUCUUGCCGCCCUGCACCAGCCCCCAGCCGUAGGGCUUCAGGUAAGUGUUUUAUUUGUUUUUGAAUUCUUGUAGCAUUAAAAUAAUGUUGGCAUGGGAUAAGCUCAUAACUGAUAUGAUGACCUCACAGUAAUAACAUAAGACACUGAGCUUCAGUAAAUAAACAGUAGAAUUUUGAAGAGGGUGACCUGCUGAUGUCAUCAGGACAGAAUGUGUCAUGGUCAUGAGGCUGUCAUCAACAGCAAUGUGAAGUAGCUCAGAAGCUGGUCAUUUUCCAAAUAGAUAGAAAUAAUUUAAUAAAUAAUAUAAUUAUAAUAAACAUUUUAUUACACUAUAACUUUAUUUAUUUAGUUAAAAUAAUGAAUAAAUGUAAGUUUCAAUGGUCAACUGUAGGCAAUCUCCUCUAGUUUCCCCAAAGUCCCUUUAAGACAAG